UACAGAGGUCCCAAGCGUUGUUCGGAUUCAUUGGGCGUAAAGGGUGCGUAGGCGGCGCGGUAAGUCGGGUGUGAAAUCUCGGAGCUUAACUCCGAAACUGCAUUCGAUACUGCCGUGCUUGAGGACUGGAGAGGAGACUGGAAUUUACGGUGUAGCGGUGAAAUGCGUAGAUAUCGUAAGGAAGACCAGUGGCGAAGGCGGGUCUCUGGGCAGUAACUGACGCUGAGGAGCGAAAGCGUGGGGAGCAAACAGG
rnacentral:rRNA from 1 species